ACUAUUUUUCGAUGUCCCAUGCCAUAUCAGAAAAAUAGUGCAUGUUUUCUUGCCUGAAACGGAGAAAACUCUCUACAUUGCUUUUAAAUAAUGUCCAAUCUCAGGCCAAAAAGCACUAUAUUAAGUAGUAACAGACUGUGAGGAGACAGAGGGAGACAGAGACUCGGAGACAGAGACAGACACAGAGAUUCUAGAAUAUGCAAAGACAACAAAUUCCAGAAGGCUAUUACAAAAUGGAAGCAAGAACUAACGUCAGCCAAGUCCUGAUUGAGGAGCCUGAAGAUAUCCACACUGAGCAUUGAUCUGUGCAUCAGUAAGUCUGGAUCUUAAGAGGGAGAUCCACAUUGGAGCACAGGUCUUCUACAAUGUGGUCAUCGUACCCUGUGUGAGGGCCACCAUGGGGUGGGCCCCGUGAACAUGGUGUGAACAACAACAGCAAAAAUGGUCUUGACCUCAGAGAGUUCAUGUCUACUAUGAUGGGAAAGAAAAUAUGCAGUGCCUACCUUUCAGAUGGAGCUGAAGGAGACAGAGUCAGAGGGACUUAAAACCAUAACAACAGCAACAACAAAGUGACAUGGAAUCCAUGAAAGGGGGUGUGACAAAUAAACAACUUUUCAACUGUA